UUUUUUUUCCGUCAAACAAGUUAAAACAUUUUUUCAAUUAUCUUCAAUAUUUUUUUCAUUUUUUUACUUAAAUUUCAGGUUGAAUCUUCUUUUAUACAAUAUUAAAAUGAAAUUUAAUUAGAAUAUUUUUGUUAAAUUAUUUUAAAAUAUCUGAAAUCUAAGUAAUAUUUUAAAUAAUUCAAGUUACCAAAUUAAAAUAUAAGUAAAAAUUAAAAGAUUCAAAAUUAAUUAUAAUAUAAUUAUUCCAACAAAUAAUUGACAUAAUGUAGGUAGGACACAGAAAAAUAUUUUAGGCGCUUCUCAAUGUUUGGUUAAGAGUUUUUGGGU
rnacentral:misc_RNA from 1 species